AAAAAAGCAAACUCUGGGUUUCCGUGUCUAACUUUAACUGUCCAUCUUAUAUAAAUUUUUUUUAUAAUUUAUAUUUUCAUUGUUGUUAGAUGAUAAAACAUGAUUAAUAUUUUAUGCGUGACUUGUCUUUUUAAUUUUUUUCAUAAAUUUUUCAAAUAAAACGGACGGUCAAACGUUGGACACGGAAACCAGGGUUUGUCUUUUU
rfam:Oryza glaberrima chromosome 10 Oglab10_0122_1, whole genome shotgun sequence.